AUGUUGUUCAUCUGGUCAUUUAUUAUGUUCUCAGUAAUAGGAGACACCUAUGAGCAGACUAUAGAGCCAAACCAACAUGAAGUGUAUGCAGAAGUGGGUAGUAAUGUUCUUCUUUCCUGCAACUACUCCUCAGCAAACACUCUACUAUGGUAUAAACAGUCUCCAGGAUCAGCUCCCCAAUACCUUCUGCUCAUCCCACACUACAGUGGGAUUGAACAGAGAGCUGAUUCUCUUGAUUCUCGCUUAUCUGGUAAACUGAACAAAGAGAAGACCCGUGUGGAUCUGGAGAUCUCUUCUGCUGAAGUGACAGACUCUGCUCUGUACUACUGUGCUCUGAGGCCCACAUUCCUCAUAGUGGACUACUCUGGGAUCAUAACCAACACUGAUAGUACAAAAUGGACCCUCACAAAUGAAAAAGAGGACAACCGUGUGGGUCUGGAGGUCUCCUCAGCUGAAGUGACAGAAAAACAUGUUUCCAUUGACAAAGUGGACAAACAUGUGGAUCUCUUCUGGUGA